rnacentral:rRNA from 1 species
AGUGAACGCUGGCGGUAGGCCUAACACAUGCAAGUCGAACGGCAGCACAGUAAGAGCUUGCUCUUACGGGUGGCGAGUGGCGGACGGGUGAGGAAUACAUCGGAAUCUACUUUUUCGUGGGGGAUAACGUAGGGAAACUUACGCUAAUACCGCAUACGACCUACGGGUGAAAGCAGGGGAUCUUCGGACCUUGCGCGAUUGAAUGAGCCGCUGUCGGGUUAGCUAGUUGGCGGGGUUAAGGCCCACCAAGGCGACGAUCCGUAGCUGGUCUGAGAGGAUGAUAGGCCACACGGGAACGUAGACAGGGUCCAGACUCCUACGGGAGGCAGCAGUGGGGAAUAUUGGACAAUGGGCGCAAGCCUGAUCCAGCCAUACCGCGUGGGUGAAGAAGGCCUUCGGGUUGUAAAGACCUUUUGUUGGGAAAGAAAAGCAGCAGGUUAAUACCCCGCUGUUCUGACGGUACCCAAAGAAUAAGCACCGGCUAACUUCGUG